UCAGAACAUGGGAGAUACUGGAAAGUAUUUUGGACGAUGUGGGAAUAGCUGUCAGUCAGCUCUUCCUAAGAUCCAACACAGUAUGACAGAUGCAACAGCAAAACAGUGAGAGGCCCUCACCUGAUUAAAAUGGAGCAAAGAAUGAAGGAUGGCCUGGGUGACAAUCCUGAUGGAGCAAUCCUGGUGAAAGUGCCAGAUUCCUGGGUGCUGGCACUGGGAACUGAAGCAGCACCAUUGCUCACCCAUAUCUAAGGUUGGCUGCUUACUGACAAUGCCGUGUGGCUUCGGAUAAUCUUUGCAUGUUAUCCUGCCUGAUG
rnacentral:lncRNA from 1 species